UCAGCGUGAGGAGGGCGCGGACGUCGGCCACGGUAGCAGGCACUCAGCAAGCUGGUCUCGGCAGAGAAGAAAUCAUAGGCCACGUCUCAAUGCUGUUGCCUGCUGUUCGUAUGAAUUUCUUCGUGCCCCCCUUGCUUGGAGCUUAAUUUUAGUCCGGCGUCGGUGUUUGCCACUCUUUGCAUCGCGCGGCGCAUGCCCACGAGCUGUUUGAUGCUUUGCGUCAAUGAGUUCGAGCAGGCCUAGUUCUUGGUUCAUCCACAUGUUUAUGAAAAGCAAUAUGUUUCUUGUGUCAGGAGGUUUUCGAGAAAUGAUCAAGGUAUACAUUCACUAAUCAGUUGCACUAACGGUACUUUUGAAGUAUCAGAACAAGGUCAAAUUUGUCUGUCCUUAUAAAAUCGUCAAACUUUGAUAAUUGCUAUAUUUGUAUGUCACACCAAGCUUUACUUUUAGCAUAUCUAUAGUUUGAAGACAGACAUUGGUGCUAAAAUUUUCAUCUAUAUUAUCUGUUGGACCAUUAAACAAGGACAUGUUUCUUCUUUAGAUCUAAAAACAUUGUAAUUUGAUUAAUGUUGGACCAUUCGGUGGUGUAAUAAUAACUAGAAUGAUUAUUGUUUUAUGUUAAAUGUGAUGGAAUUUGUGGU
rnacentral:lncRNA from 1 species